GUCUGCAUGUGGCGUCUCUGUGCAUUUCCCGGUCCUAUAUCUGACUGCCGGCCAGCUAGGACUCCACAGUCUCCGAUGCGCACGGCGAGCGCCCCGUAGACCAUACCCUUGGUGGUGUUGGGGCUUUUCACUCGUGUCUGUUGGAGUUUGGAGGGAUGCUGGUCGUUCGAGAGCACGUGAUCUGAUCAGACAAUUUUGUCUGGCAUUUUGAAGAAGGUUUUUUUCUGUCUACAUCGUGCGAUCCAGACUCGAAUGUUUUGCGCUCAUAGUCUGUUUUUUUUUUGCUUCUCGCUCGCUCUCUUGUGCCACCGCUCCGCCUCCCCCUUUUCGCAACAUUGACGCAACCUAUAAAUACUGGAACAAAAGAACAACUUCCUUGAAGCCUGCUGAAACUGCACUUAAUCUGGACAUGGAUCCUUGUUGUCAAGUGGAUGAAAAUAUCGAGAGGAUAUGAUUAAGUAUAUCUUCCAGCGAGUUGAGCUGUGUGACCCCACUCGAACACUCGUCUCCAAGGCGCAUAUAGAUCAGGAGUGUCUUUUUCAAAUGAGGCCUGGAUGUUAAGCAGAGCAGAUGCUGAGGGCCCUGG
rnacentral:lncRNA from 1 species